UCCGAUUUGUCACCGACAGUCUCCCCAGAGUUCCCGGCUUUACCCGCUGGCAACUGAGGACAGGGGUUGCGCUCGUUGCGCCACUUAAGGCAACACCUCACGGCACGAGCUGACGACAGCCAUGCACCACCUGUGCGGGCUCCGUAGAGCACCGUGUUUCCACGGCUUCACCCCGCAUGUCAAGCCCAGGUAAGGUUCUUCGCGUUGCGUCGAAUUAAGCCACAUGCUCCGCCGCUUGUGCGGGUCCCCGUCAAUUCCUUUGAGUUUUAGCCUUGCGGCCGUACUCCCCAGGCGGGGUGCUUAAUGCGUUAGCUUCGGCACGGAACGGGUUGAAGGCCACCCCACACCUAGCACCCAACGUUUACGGCUGGGACUAC
rnacentral:misc_RNA from 1 species